AGGUGGACUCAGAGCAAAUCCCAAAAAAGACCGUCUCAGUUCAGAUUGCAGGCUGCAACUCGCCUGCAUGAAGACGGAAUUGCUAGUAAUCGCGAAUCAGCAUGUCGCGGUGAAUACGUUCCCGGGCCUUGUACACACCGCCCGUCAAACCAUGAGAGUUGGGAGUACCCGAAGUCUGUAAUCUAACCGCAAGGAGGAUGCAGCCGAAGGUAGGCUCAAUGAUUGGGGUUAAGUCGUAACAAGGUAGC
rnacentral:rRNA from 1 species